GUUGCAACUUCUAGAAUUUUCUUCUCCACUAUUGAUGACGAGAAAAUACGAAUUAGGCUAAAGGCAAAAGCGAAUAAUGGUAGAAGGACGGCCUUUUUUUUUCAGAGAAAACAAGAUUUUGGGGAGAAUUCGUUCUGCAAAACAAUGGCUAGAAUUUAGAAAGAGAAGGAUUGAAUUGAUAGAAGAAUAUUGUGCGAAAUUUAUGUGGUAAGAAAAAAAAUAAACAGCACACGACAUUUUACUUCAA
rnacentral:lncRNA from 1 species